GAAUUUACACAGCAUAAAUAAAGUAACAAUCAAUCUAUCUAUCACACCCAGGGCAAGGGUCAGUCAUUGUACUCUAGCUUGUGCUGAAACCUGUGAAUUCCCCAAACGUGGGAAUCUGAACUGCAUCAUUUCUGGAAGUGAGUGACUGCUUCAUCCUCACUCU